GUCGCGCUAGCUCUUUUAUCAUACGCGGCCACCGUCGUUUGCCAAUGCUCAUGUCAGCUGAUUUCUGUUUAUGCACGCCCAAUUUCGUAUUUUUAGUGGAAGGGUAACUCAGUCUCCUCUUGGUUCUGUGACUGUUCUGUUUCGUUUUGCUCUGCUUAUUCGCCUCUGUCUCUGCUGUUGCGUAUCCGUUGUCUACGUUUUAUUAAAAUAGUUGCACCUCUCUGGAAGUUGGUUCUCCUUCCAUUUUCAGGUGAAAGGAUGUCAAAACCUGGUCUAAUUAGUCGCAAACGUGGACCACGUAGAGGGUAAGUGCACUAAUAAAAUUAACAUAGGAUGUCUCACCGUCGUCAGGAACCUUGGAACUUCGAUUCUUCAGGUACUGUUGAAUCGCCCAGAAAAUGUUCGCGUCUACUUGUACGCUCCUCUAGCAGCCAGACGUUGCAAUUUUUAUGUUAAAGAUGACGUCCAAUCAGAACAAGCACGACGUUUUGCGGUCUGCUAGUAGUGCAGCACGUGACUUCCCAGGCCGCGUACGUCACAGGGACUUGCUUCACUCGAGUGUACUGUACCGAGUGAAGAGUCGGAAAUAAAAUUGAGAAGCCAAAACGGAAGUGCUGAUCGGAAGGGGACACGACGUUCCAGGAAGCUCUAGUUACGAUAUCGCGCGGGUAAGGACCUCUCGAAUUCCAGUCUUGCUGACGGCACGGAUGAACGCAGUGUCCGCGCGCGUAGGUCGAUCCCUAACUCGAGGAAUCCUUCCGAAAGUUCAAUAAAUGCGUUGUUUCAUUCUCUGUGUCAGCCACGAGGGCGACUGUUGAAACUGCGGUUCUCUGUGACCGACGGAGGAACUAGACUUUUUGGAACGGCGUAGCCUAAUUGCGUUCUCCGCAGCGGGUCCCGAGCCAGCCAGCACCCUGAGGGAAGUGAGAAAGAAAGAAAGAAAGAAAGAAAGAAAGAAAGA